rnacentral:rRNA from 1 species
AACGAACGCUGGCGGCAGGCUUAACACAUGCGAGUCGAGCGCCUCGCAAGAGGAGCGGCAGACGGGUGAGUAACGCGUGGGAAUCUACCGUGCCCUAAGGAAUAGCUCCGGGAAACUGGAAUUAAUACCUUAUACGCCCUUCGGGGAAAGGAUUUAUCGGGUAGUGAUGAGCCCGCGUUGGAUUAGCUAGUUGGUGGGGU